GGGCCUGUUAUGCCGUCAGAUUAUCAG
rnacentral:piRNA from 1 species